ensembl:lncRNA
GCUACUUGAAAGAAAAGCUAUGACCAACCUACACAGCAUAUUAAAAAGCAGAGACAUUACUUUGCCAACAAAGGUCUGGUUUUCAAACAUAGUCAAAGUUAUGGUUUUUCCGAUAGUCAUUUAUGAAUGUGAGAGUUGGACUAUAAAGAAAGCUGAGUGCCAAAGAAUUAAUGUUUUUGAACUGUGGGGUUGGAGAAGACUCUUGAGAGUCCCUGGGACUGCAAGGAGAUCCAACCAGUCCAUCCUGAAAGAAAUCAGUCGUGAAUAUUCAUUGGAAUGACAUGCUGAAGCUGAAGCUCCAAUACCUUAGCCACUUGAUGUAAAGAACUGACUCAUUUGAAAAGACCCUGAUGCUGGGCAAGAUUGAAGCAUCACCGGCUCCAUGGAUGAGUUUGAACAAACUCUGGGAGUUGGUGAUGGACAGAGAAGCCUGGUGUGCUGCAAUCCAUGGGGGUGCAAAGAGUCAGACACAACUGAGCGACUGAACUGAGCUGAAGCCUUUGAAAUCUCGUAUGGAUUUUGCACCCAUAGGACAUCUUGGUUUGGACCAGCCACAUUUCAAGUGCAGAAUAACCACACGUGGCUCAUAGAUACUGGGCCACACAGUUCUAGAUGAUUAUAAGAAGGACACUCAUUUGGAAAUGGCAUAAAGCAAAAACCUGUGCUUUUCUUUCAAAUGUCAACAUUGAAGUCAUAAUCUCCCCUAAAUGUCUUAGGGUUAUCCUUUCUUAUUUUGUGGCAUUACUAAAUGAUCUCUCUUUAUAGACCUUUUUAGGAACUUUCUCUGUCCUUUUGAUUUCAGAUUCCCUUCUGGUUUCUGCAGUGAAGACUGUCAUGAUGAAUUUUUCUUGAGGACAUUGAUCAUUAUUUACAGCUAUGGGGCUCUUAGCCAGUACUUGCUGUGGAGGUCUGGAGGAACACUGGGAAGGCAGGGCUCCAUUUGACCUGGCUUGUCAAAGGCUGGUACCACCAAACAAGAUUCUACCUAUAGUUAUUGCACUGAAAAGAAAGAUUACAUGUUAGUAAAAA